rnacentral:rRNA from 1 species
UACCAGCACCCCGAGUGGUCGGGACGUUUUAUUGGGCCUAAAGCAUCCGUAGCCGGUUCUACAAGUCUUCCGUUAAAUCCAACUGCUUAGCAGGUGGGCUGCGGAAGAUACUAUAGAGCUAGGAGGCGGGAGAGGCAAGCGGUACUCGAUGGGUAGGGGUAAAAUCCGUUGAUCCAUUGAAGACCACCAGUGGCGAAGGCGGCUUGCCAGAACGCGCUCGACGGUGAGGGAUGAAAGCUGGGGGGAGCAAACCGG